rnacentral:rRNA from 1 species
UACAGAGGGUGCAAGCGUUAAUCGGAAUUACUGGGCGUAAAGCGUGCGUAGACGGUUAUUUAAGUCAGGUGUGAAAGCCCCGGGCUCAACCUGGGAAUUGCAUUUGAGACUGAAUAGCUAGGGUGCGGAAGAGGGAAGCGGAAUUUCCGGUGUAGCGGUGAAAUGCGUAGAUAUCGGAAGGAACACCAGUGGCGAAAGCGGCUUCCUGGUCCAGCACCGACGUUCAGGCACGAAAGCGUGGGGAGCAACCAGG